GACGAACGCUGGCGGCGUGCUUAACACAUGCAAGUCGAACGAAGUGGCGCACGGGUGAGUAACGCGUAAUCAACCUGCCAUUCAGAGGGGGACAACAGUUGGAAACGACUGCUAAUACCGCAUACUGAAGGAGGGGAUUGCGUCUGAUUAGCUAGUGGGAGGGGCAACGGCCCACCAAGGCGAUGAUCAGUAGCCGGUGUGAUGGGAGGAACGGCCACAUUGGGACUGAGACAGGGCCCAGACUCCUACGGUAGGCAGCGGUGGGGAAUCAUACGAAAUGGACGAAAGUCUGACGGAACAAAGCCGCGUGUGUGAUGACGGCCUUCGGGUUGUAAAGCUCUGUUAGUCGGGACGCGGUACCGGAAUAGAAAGCCACGGCUAACUACGUGCCAGCAGCCGCGGUAAUUC
rnacentral:rRNA from 1 species